GAUGAACGCUAGCGGCAGGCCUAAUACAUGCAAGUCGAACGAUAGAAGAGGGCUUGCUCUCUUCGAAAGUGGCGCACGGGUGCGUAACGCGUAUGCAACCUACCUUAAUCAGGGGGAUAGCCCGAAGAAAUUCGGAUUAACACCGCAUAAAAUCACAGUACAGCAUUGUACAAUGAUCAAAUAUUUAUAGGAAUAAGAUGGGCAUGCGUGUCAUUAGCUAGUUGGCGGGGUAACGGCCCACCAAGGCGACGAUGACUAGGGGAUCUGAGAGGAUGACCCCCCACACUGGUACUGAGACACGGACCAGACUCCUACGGGAGGCAGCAGUAAGGAAUAUUGGUCAAUGGAGGCAACUCUGAACCAGCCAUGCCGCGUGCAGGAAGACAGCCCUCUGGGUCGUAAACUGCUUUUAUUCGGGAAUAAACCUACUUACGUGUAAGUAGCUGAAUGUACCGAAGGGAUAAGGAUCGGCUAACUCCGUGCCAGCAGCCGCGGUAAUACGGAGGAUCCAAGCGUUAUCCGGAUUUAUUGGGUUUAAAGGGUGCGUAGGCGGCUUUUUUAAGUCAGGGGUGAAAGACGGUAGCUCAACUAUCGCAGUGCCCUUGAUACUGAAGAGCUUGAAUGAACUAGAGGUAGGCGGAAUGUGACAA
rnacentral:rRNA from 1 species